CCUAGUGUAGCAGAGCUCAGCAAAUGCAAAAGGCUUAAGGCCUUUACCUAAAGGUUCAAAUCCUCUCCCCAGCU
rnacentral:tRNA from 1 species